rnacentral:lncRNA from 1 species
UGUACCAUUUCUCUUGCAUCUUACGUCCGGUAUGAAACUUAACCUAUACCUACAACCUAUAUUUACAAACAACACUCCUUUCAGCGCGAGCGGAGUCUUAGACAUGUGAGGAAGCAACUAGCUACUCAGACAACCACAAUGGAGCGUGAGGGUAUAUAUGGAUCGCUGUUACAUGAGGUGGAAAGAGUACUCGAGAGCGCGCCGGAGCUGUCUGUGUGUCAGCUGUUUACACUCGAGCGCCAUCUUAUGUUGCCGAUGGCGGCCUCUGUCCUGACCUUCCUAUUCUUCACGGCCCAGUUUGGUCUUUACGAAGAUCCAAACUCUACCAAUGUCACCUGCCACAUCUCAUGAGUCCCCCCCCCCUCCCCCUCG